GACGAACGCUGGCGGCGUGCUUAACACAUGCAAGUCGAACGGAAAGGCCCAGCUUGCUGGGUGCUCGAGUGGCGAACGGGUGAGUAACACGUGGGUGAUCUGCCCCUAACUUCGGGAUAAGCUUGGGAAACUGGGUCUAAUACCGGAUAGGACAAUCGUUUUGUGUCGGUUGUGGAAAGUUUUUUCGGUUUGGGAUGAGCCCGCGGCCUAUCAGCUUGUUGGUGGGGUAAUGGCCUACCAAGGCGUCGACGGGUAGCCGGCCUGAGAGGGUGGACGGCCACAUUGGGACUGAGAUACGGCCCAGACUCCUACGGGAGGCAGCAGUGGGGAAUAUUGCACAAUGGGAGCAAGCCUGAUGCAGCGACGCCGCGUGGGGGAUGACGGCCUUCGGGUUGUAAACCUCUUUCGACAGGGACGAAGCUUUGGUGACGGUACCUGUAGAAGAAGCACCGGCUAACUACGUG
rnacentral:rRNA from 1 species